UACAGAGGUCUCAAGCGUUGUUCGGAUUCAUUGGGCGUAAAGGGCGCGUAGGCUGCGGGGUAAGUCGGGUGUGAAAUCUCAGGGCUCAACCCUGAAACUGCACUCGAUACUGCUCUGCUUGAGGACUGGAGAGGAGACUGGAAUUCCUGGUGUAGCAGUGAAAUGCGUAGAUAUCAGGAGGAACACCGAUGGCGAAGGCAGGUCUCUGGGCUGACACUGACGCUCAUGCACGAAAGCGUGGGGAGCAAACAGG
rnacentral:rRNA from 1 species